CUAACAACUAGAUAGCCCUGUUCAAGAUUAUCGCAUACAUAAGAAUUUACCCAGAGUCGGCAAAAAAUGAAUGUUCAGCUUCAAACUUAACAUUCAUACUUUUGGAUCAUUUUAAACAUUACUGGUACUCACGCUGGUGAUUCACAAAGAUGUUUAAAAUGAGGUUUGAAAAUUAUUUAUUAAAAACUGAAGCGGCCACAUAAGUUGGUCAAAAAAUUAAUGGAAAAUUAUAAAGAUGUAAAGUAAAAGUUUUAGAAUGUCAUUUUAUCCUUUCUCAACUUCUACAAAUAUUAACACAAGAGGAUCAUUGAAACUUCCUAAUGGUUAAUCAAAGAAUAUCAAGGAAAAAUGAAGUAGUUAUUGAAUGGAGAUAUAAUACUUACAAAGAGUUAUUGCGAUAUGGUUAUUGAAUGAAGAUAUAAUACUUACAAAGAGUUAUUGCAAUAUGAUUACUGAAUGAAGAUAUAAUACUUACAAAAAGUUAUUGCGAUAUGGUUAGUAUUAUUAUUACUUCCGUAUAAGAUUUGUAUUAAGAAUUUUAAUAUAUAUGAUGAUUUGAUCACUCACAUAUGAGUUCAUGAUUAUUCAUUACAUGCACUACCAACUGAAUUUUUAAACCUAAAUGUUCAAACUUAAUAUGUUUAAGACAUGUAUUUUAUAAUAUUUUUCAUAUUUUAGAUGAGAAGAUAAUCCACUAAAGCAGUAUUAUCUAAUUUGUACUUUUAACAAGAAAGUAACUGUACAUAUAAUAAAUACUAUUUUUUAAAAUAUA